rnacentral:rRNA from 1 species
UACGAAGGGGGCUAGCGUUGCUCGGAAUCACUGGGCGUAAAGCGCACGUAGGCGGGUUCUUAAGUCAGGGGUGAAAUCCUGGAGCUCAACUCCAGAACUGCCUUUGAUACUGGGAAUCUCGAGUCCGGUGGAGAGGUGAGUGGAACUGCGAGUGUAGAGGUGAAAUUCGUAGAUAUUCGCAAGAACACCAGUGGCGAAGGCGGCUCACUGGCCCGGUACUGACGCUGAGGUGCGAAAGCGUGGGGAGCAAACAGG